rnacentral:rRNA from 1 species
GAUGAACGCUGGCUACAGGCUUAACACAUGCAAGUCGAGGGGAAACGACGGGGAAGCUUGCUUCCCCGGGCGUCGACCGGCGCACGGGUGAGUAACGCGUAUCCAACCUGCCUCUGACUGAGGGAUAACCCGUCGAAAGUCGGCCUAAUACCUCAUGGCAUCGUCUGCGGGCAUCCAACGACGAUUAAAGAUUUCAUCGGUCAGGGAUGGGGAUGCGUCUGAUUAGCUUGUUGGCGGGGUAACGGCCCACCAAGGCUACGAUCAGUAGGGGUUCUGAGAGGAAGGUCCCCCACAUUGGAACUGAGACACGGACCAAACUCCUACGGGAGGCAGCAGUGAGGAAUAUUGGUCAAUGGGCGGGAGCCUGAACCAGCCAAGUAGCGUGCAGGAUGACGGCCCUAUGGGUUGUAAACUGCUUUUAUGCGGGGAUAAAGUGAGGGACGUGUCCUUCAUUGCAGGUACCGCAUGAAUAAGGACCGGCUAAUUCCGUG